GUCUAUGGCCAUGCCACUCUGAACAUGCCCGAUCUCAGCUGAUCUCAGAAGCUAAGCAGGGUCGGGCCUGGUUAGUACUUGGAUGAGAGACCGCCUAGGAAGACCAGGUACUGUAGGUG
rnacentral:rRNA from 1 species